AUUGAACGCUAGCGGGAGGCUUUACACAUGCAAGUCGAACGAGGGGCGGGCGGGUGAGUAAUAUAUCGGAACGUGCCCAGGAGGGGGGGAUAACUACUAGAAGGAAUGGAUAAUACCGCAUACUAUUGGAGCGGCCGAUAUCGGAUUAGCUAGGUGGGGGGGAAAAGGCUCACCAAGGCAACGAUCCGUAGCUGGUUUGAGAGGACGACCAGCCACACUGGUACUGAGACACGGCCCAGACUCCUACGGGAGGCAGCAGUGGGGAAUUUUGGACAAUGGGGGCAAGCCUGAUCCAGCCAUCCCGCGUGUAUGAGAAGGCCCUCGGGUUGUAAAGUACUUUUGGCAGAGAAGCGGUAUCUGCAGAAUAAGCACCGGCUAACUACGUGCCAGCAGCCGCGGUAAUUC
rnacentral:rRNA from 1 species